rnacentral:rRNA from 1 species
CCUACGGGAGGCAGCAGUGGGGAAUUUUGGACAAUGGGCGCAAGCCUGAUCCAGCAAUGCCGCGUGAGUGAAGAAGGCCUUCGGGUUGUAAAGCUCUUUUGUCAGGGAAGAAACGGUGGGGGCUAAUAUCCCCUGCUAAUGACGGUACCUGAAGAAUAAGCACCGGCUAACUACGUGCCAGCAGCCGCGGUAAUACGUAGGGUGCAAGCGUUAAUCGGAAUUACUGGGCGUAAAGCGUGCGCAGGCGGUUUUGUAAGUUUGUCGUGAAAUCCCCGGGCUCAACCUGGGAAUGGCGAUGAAGACUGCAAGGCUAGAAUCUGGCAGAGGGGGGUAGAAUUCCACGUGUAGCAGUGAAAUGCGUAGAGAUGUGGAGGAACACCGAUGGCGAAGGCAGCCCCCUGGGUCAAGAUUGACGCUCAUGCACGAAAGCGUGGGGAGCAAACAGGAUUAGAUACCCUGGUAGUCCACGCCCUAAACGAUGUCUACUAGUUGUCGGGUUUUAAUUAACUUGGUAACGCAGCUAACGCGUGAAGUAGACCGCCUGGGGAGUACGGUCGCAAGAUUAAAACUCAAAGGAAUUGACGGCUGAGACGNGCGAGACGACGACGAGGAGGAGG